UACGUAGGGGGCUAGCGUUGUCCGGAAUCAUUGGGCGUAAAGAGCGUGUAGGCGGCCCGAUAAGUCCGCUGUGAAAGUCCAGGGCUCAACCCUGGGAUGCCGGUGGAUACUGUCGGGCUCGAGUCCGGAAGAGGAGUGUGGAAUUCCUGGUGUAGCGGUGAAAUGCGCAGAUAUCAGGAGGAACACCAAUGGCGAAGGCAGCACUCUGGGACGUGACUGACGCUGAGACGCGAAAGCGUGGGGAGCAAACGGG
rnacentral:rRNA from 1 species